AUUGAACGCUGGCGGCAGGCCUAACACAUGCAAGUCGAACGGUAACAGGAAGCAGCUUGCUGCUUCGCUGACGAGUGGCGGACGGGUGAGUAAUGUCUGGGAAGCUGCCUGAUGGAGGGGGAUAACUACUGGAAACGGUAGCUAAUACCGCAUAAUGUCGCAAGACCAAAGAGGGGGACCUUCGGGCCUCUUGCCAUCGGAUGUGCCCAGAUGGGAUUAGCUUGUUGGUGGGGUAACGGCUCACCAAGGCGACGAUCCCUAGCUGGUCUGAGAGGAUGACAGGCCACACUGGAACUGAGCCACGGUCCAGACUCCUACGGGAGGCAGCAGUGGGGAAUAUUGCACAAUGGGCGCAAGCCUGAUGCAGCCAUGCCGCGUGUAUGAAGAAGGCCUUCGGGUUGUAAAGUACUUUCAGCGGGGAGGAAGGGAGUAAAGUUAAUACCUUUGCUCAUUGACGUUACCCGCAGAAGAAGCACCGGCUAACUCCGUG
rnacentral:rRNA from 1 species